GAUUAUUCUAUAUUUUGUAAAAUGUAAAGAAAUCAAUGUAUUUUGUUUGAAAUACAAUUAGUAGUAUGAAUAAAUGUUACUAACAACUUGUCUUUACUUGUCUGAUCAUUUUAGCAAAUUUAUAUCAUAUCAGAAUUGAUGAUCAUUGCAUUGGCCUUAAUGAAGGAAUGCAUUGUACUGGCAAUAUUACUGAAUGAGUAUAUUAUUAUAACAUCAAAGAAAAAUAUAAAGAAAAUAAGCUAUUUAUUCUAUAAGUCAGAUGAUAUUGCAAACAUAUCAACUUGUCUUCCCAAAACAUUUGAAUGGAUUACUUAUGGAAUAAAACUUAAAACAGGACUUGAUUUCUUCAUCUCGUU
rnacentral:lncRNA from 1 species